rnacentral:ncRNA from 2 species
UCAAGUACAUUGAAAGAGUUUAGUAGCAGGUUGUCACUGUUAUCUAGAAAGCUGGGGGUUGAUGAAACCUAGCACAAACAAACUUGUGAAGUACACUCUGGAGUAUCUUAGGUAAUGCUAAGCGGAUUGGCAAUCGAUACUAUUGCUAAGAGUGGCAUGAAUGGUCAUUGAACUAUUUAUGCAAUUUGGGUGGUAACGCGAUUCAAAAUCGUCCCUAUG